AUGUCUUAUAAACCCGCUACUGAUAUCAUAAAUAAAGAAUAUGAGAUAAUUGCCUAAUUUCUCAUUCACUAUCAAAUGAAUAUAUACAAAAGAAAAUUCCCAAACUAUAUAUUAUCAAAGAAAAAUAAUCAAUAUUCUAAGUGCCUUGUUUCAUAUUAUUACCAAUAUCUUAAAGUACAAAAUCUUAAAUGUACUAUGUUAUUGUGAAAUUAUGAAAGAAAAAAAAAAUACAUUUAUUGGGUGCUAGUAAAGUAACAAAUGGCAACUGAGGAAUAUUUUCCAUGUAUUGAGUUUGUUUAAUCUUUUGGUUGUAUUACUCGUGCAGGAUUAACAUAUGUACAUUUGUUGUCAAUGCACUUCCACCUUCUAGGCAACACUUUUUGACAAUCUGCAUCUGUUUUACAUUCAACUAUUGCUGUAAUGAAAAAACAAAUUAAAAAUAAUGUCAAUAAAACAAGAUAAAACUUGUGUUAAGAUCAAAUUUUAAAAGGAUGGAAAAGCAUGUUACCGCAAAUAUUUCUUGCAAUAGAAAAUACAUAAAUAAAUAAAAUCAUAAAAUGAACAAUUUUGAGAGUUUUAGCCAUAUUUUCUCUUUUUGCAUGUUAUAAAUAUAGUAUGAUAUGAUUAAUUUAUAGGUAUAAAAUUUAUGUGAAGUUAAAAUAAAUUACUUAUUCUUAGCGCUUGAGGGGUUGUCAAAAACAUCUUUAAAUUACUAUAAUAAAGUAAUGUAUUUUAAAUAGAUUAAUGUGUUAUAUUUGCCC
rnacentral:lncRNA from 1 species